GGGGAGGGGUCAUAGUACUGGAAAGGAGAUUAUACAGAAUCACAGAAAAUCCCAAAUUGGCAGAGACCCACCGAGGAUAUCGAGUCGAUCUCCUGGCCCUGCACAGGACACUCUAAGAGUCGAACCUUGUGCCUGACAGCGUUGUCCGAACACUUCUUGGUGCUGUGACUACCUCCCUGGGAAGCCCGUUUUAGUGCCGAACCACAGUGAACUUCUCAGUGAAAAACCUCUUCCUGGUAUCCAACCUAAACCUCCCCUGACUCGCCAUCGAAUCCUCUCACUGGCCACGAGAGUAAAGAGAUGGGUACCUGCCUCUCCGCUUCCCCUCGUGAGGGAGCUGUAGACUGCGACGGACAUUAGGAAGAAUUUUUUCACGGGAACGAUUAGACAUUGCAGUGGUCUUCCCGGGAGGGUGGUGGAGUCACUGCACCCGGAGAUGUUUAAGGAAAGACUGGACAUCGCACAGGCGUGUUCACACGGUGAUGCAUCCCGGGCACCCUGCUGAGGAGGGCUUGACACAGCUUAGUUCGCCUAAAUGAGUUCUGCUUCUGAGACACACCGAAGUGGAAGGGAGGGCAACACUUGGUACACAAAGAAUGUUCAGGUUUUAAUCAAAUCAUCAAGGAAUUGUUUAUUCAAAUCAACAGUUCUUUUGCAUUUUUAAUCAAUUCUUUCAGUCUUGACAUAAAUCAAAUUGACCGAAAGAAACAUUUUCUGCUGGCUCUUAAGGAGUUAAUUUCUUCCACCUGCAGUAUUUCCUCUAAAGCAAGCACCGAGUUUAUUUUUACAGCUAAAUUCCUAAAUAGCAGGUCAGUGAGGGGAAGGGAAGGUUUGCUGCAACUGGGAUUUCAUAUUCUGCUUUUCAGGAAUGAUACAUUUCUUUGAGAAAUACUCUGAUCAUUGAGUGUAGUGGCGGUUUGAGUUUUUGUCGAAUUACCUUCACUGUAUUUCAUCGUAUUUGGAAAAGAAGAAAGAAGCUACUAAAAAAAAAAAAAUGCUGGCUUUAGAACAGUGGGAAAGGAGCCAUAAUUUUUCCAAGGUAAACCUCUGCUGUUACCUUCUGAGUGAGUCAUCUAUCCCCCCUAGGGGUAUAGUUCACUUUUUGAGCUCUUAAAAUAGACUUUUGUAAUGGGUUUGUUCCUUCAUCAGAUACUUUCCUUCUGUAGCUGCCUUAAAAGGGCUUAAAUUCUUCUAGUUACUGCCUGAUUGCCUCAUUUCAUAUCCCACAUGUGUUCGGCAGAGGAGAAUGUUGAAGCAUUAGUUUUUCUUCAGUAACAGAUUUUAGCAUGCAGAUUUAAAUGGGAAUGCUGAAAAAAUACACACUUGCACUUCUGAUUACAUAGCAAUUACUAACUGCAAAGGAUGACUUCUCUGGUUAGAAAUAGUAGAGCUAGCAAGAAAACCAUUUUGGGGCAAACCUAAAGUGGGACAGCUUUCAAAGCUUUGGUAUUAGCGCUUACUAGUUUAAAAGGUGGAAGGCGAAAUCUGAUGUUGUGAAAUGGGAGGUUAGCUAUCAUAUUGACAGUAGUUUUAUUAAAGUGUCAGGAAAAAAAGAGUAAGAGAUGCUACCAAACAGUGUUUGUGGAACUGGAACUGGUUUGUUUCUCAUGUGUAUCAUGUAAUUUAAGUUUGCAUCAAUACUUGCAUAAUUUUUAUUAUGUUUAGGAAGUGGGGGUUUUUGUGUUGCAAUUUAGUAACCUAAACAGUAAUAACUUCCAUCUGUGGUUUUAUAAAUUGCUUUUAUAGGUUUUAAUAUGUCUGUUGUUAUGGUCACUCUACAAUAUCUAAACUCUGUUGUUAACUUUUUUGCUUUAAUAAUUCGAAAAUGUGGGGUCUUUUUCUUUACUGCUUAAAAAAUGUAAUUUCACUUUACAAUAAGAAGGUUGAUAAACUGAAAAAUGUCUUGUGUUUCUAGCUAUCGAAAAUAAUUUCCAGGUGAGAAGAUAGCACUGGUCUCCAUAUGCUGAUUGUAAAUCUCUUUCUAACUAGAGCAUUUACAUAGAGAGCACUAAGUAUUAAAUUACCUUUUCAGGAAAUAAAAGCAGCUUUUGUUAACAUGGUCUGUGCUGUCUUGGAAAGCUUUCACCUUCUGCUGCGUGGCCCUGCCCUCUGGUGGGCACGCAAAGGCUGGCUGAGAGCCUGCUUUUACGUAAACUGGAAAGUUGUCUCCAAGAAAUCUUACCUAAUCUUACUUGAAAAUCUUGAGAUGUAAAAGCGUUUAGUUUUCCCCAUUGUGUUUCAGUCGCAGUUUUGCAGUCUUGUGGCAACGGCAGAGAUACUAUCACAUGCGUCUUCAGACGUUAAAGUAAAAUAGUAGGAUUGAUGAGACUUGCAUGUUAUUACGGUGCUUUCUUCUUCUCAUACGGUUGAAAUGAAGGUCAAAAAUGUGUUUUCCUGAAUGCUAGUUUGCUUGCCAUUUUUGUCUGUGAUAUUUUUAGAUACUUUGAACUUUGCACAGACAGAGUAUCUGUUGUAUUUAAUUCCAAGUUAAAGAUUCAUGUUCCAACAUAUGUUUUCAUUCUGGAACUUCUUGGAUGGUCUUCUGUAAUCUUAUUACAAUCAGGGAGAGAGAAGUUUCUUUAUCCUAUUCAAGAAAUAACUUUUCCAUAUUUCACUAAAGCUUUUCUAUCUUUCUCCCUGUGCCACCACUUGCACUUUAUCACUCCAUGUAUAUUCCUUGCAGUUAAAGAUUUAGAAAUCAGUAAAUGUCAAAAAGCCUUUAAAGAUCUAAUUUGAAUUUAUUACUGCUUAAUUUUGAAGCAAUAUGAUACAUGUCUUAAGGAGAUAGAAUCUUGUUUCAUAAUCCACUGAGGUUUUUUAAGUAUGGACCAUGAAUCUGAUCCUGCAAGCUAGUAGUAGCAUAAAUAGAUGUUAUGUAAUGGUUCACAAAGUCACCAGGAAGCAUCAGGUUCUUAUUAAGAAACUGCUGAGAGAAAGACUUGUAUAAUACUAGUGGGUUUAUUUUUUUUUUCCAAGGAGAAAGGGAACUUUGGUUUUUAAUAUUUUUUGGUCACAUUUAGAAAGUAUGACUUUUCAUAAAAUGUGUUGUAGUUCUUUAAAAGUGACAUAUGCACUAAAACUCAAAAUGCAAAAUUCACACAGGAAAGUAAUCUGAAACUUCCUCUGAAAUUGCACCUGACUUGGGCUGCCAGAUGGGAGCUUAUGCUCAGAAAUAUGCAGGGCUGAAAUCACAACAUACAGGGUGUAGUAUUUGAAUUAUAACUACUAGAAUUUACUUGGAUGAAGAAAAGCUAUGAAACUGAAGUCAAAAUCUCAGUUGUGAGUAAGAAAGCCUUGGGGUUUUCUGGUGUGAGCUUUGUUUGUUUGUUUGUUUUGUUUGGUUUGGUUGUUGGUUUUUUUCGUGGAGACAAAGUUGAAAAGAGGGUAAAUAUUCCAAGUUUAUUUUGAACAUUAUAAUAUAAUACAUAUCAAUAGUAGUAUAUAUUAAUAAUGUAGAUAUAUAUCCAUGGAGAGAGUCCACAGGAGGAUCACUGAAUUGAUCAGAGGAUGGAGCACCACUGCUAUGAGGAAAAGGAUGAGAAAAUUUGGUUUAUUCACCAGGGAGAAGGGAAGGCUUUGGGGCUUCCAGUAUCCAAAGGGAGGCUACAGAAAUGAUGGAGAGAGACUGUUUUACAAGAGCCUAGAGUGACAGGACAAGGGGGAAUGGCUUCAAAGUGAAAGGCAGUAGGUUUACCUUAGAUAUUAGGAAGACAUUCUUUACUGUGAGGGUGGUGAGACACUGGCAAAGAUUGCCCAGAGAAGCUAUUUGUGUCCCAUCCUUGACAAAGUUCAGGGCAGGUAGGAUGUGGCUCUGAGCAACCAGGACUAGUGAAAAGUGUCCCUGUCCAUGGCAGAUGAGUUGGAAUUUGAUGUCUUUAAAGUCCCUUCCAACCCCAAGCCAAUCUGAUUCUGUCAUUCUGUCAAGUUCACCUCAUAAAUGAAUAGCAAUGGCAAAAAAUAGCUUUAGUGAUGCAGUGAUAAAAGGUAUGUGAAUGUCUGUGUGUGUGUCUAUAUAUGCUUAUAUUUUUAACGAAACGUACUGAAUAUUGUCUAUUUAUCAGGGUAUUGGAAGGCUUAUAACUGAAGAAAAUUGAAAGACAGUGGAACAGAAGAAACUUGUGUUGUCUUCCUGUCCAAGUAUCAUGAUCCAAUGGUCUAAUUAUGAACAAUUUUUAAUAAAAGUAAGGAUAUAUAAAUCAUAAAUCUA